rnacentral:sRNA from 1 species
UAUGAAGGAAGCCCCACUAAAACCAACCACGUCCUGUGGCGAACGUGGGAUCAACACAUCCAAUGCA